ensembl:snRNA U5 U5 spliceosomal RNA
AUUCUCCAGUUUCUUUUCAGAUCAUAUAAAUUUUUCUCCUUUUACUAAUGAUUUUUCAUGAAGAGGAACAACUCUGAGUCUUAAAUCAAUUUUUGAGGACUUAUUUUGGCAAGGGUC